UACAGAGGGGGCAAGCGUUGUUCGGAAUCACUGGGUGUAAAGGGUGCGUAGGCGGUCAGUCAAGUCUGAUGUGAAAUCCCUGGGCUCAACUCAGGAACUGCAUUGGAUACUAGCUGGCUUGGAGUACCGGAGAGGGAAGCGGAAUUCCUGGUGUAGCGGUGAAAUGCGUAGAUACCAGGAGGAACACCGGUGGCGAAGGCGGCUUCCUGGCCGAGUACUGACGCUGAGGCACGAAAGCGUGGGGAGCAAACGGG
rnacentral:rRNA from 1 species